rnacentral:rRNA from 1 species
AUGCUACCGUCCGUGAACUGUGGAUGGGCUGGUAAGAACACUACUACGCUCUGGAUUCAGCCGGAGGCACCGAAGCAACUGGCUCCUCGACUAAGCAACUUGAGGAUUCUGAAUCUCCAGAAGAUUCCUGAAGAAUGCGGCAUCAAGUGGACAUUCUUCCUGCUAGAUGCCGCACCUCUAUUGGAGGAGCUCGACAUUGAGGUAUCGAACCACCAGUGCAACCCAUUGGAGGAUGAGAUGCUAAGGGAACGUCUAGUUUGCAAGAAAACAUUUAUCGAGUGGGAACCAUCUGAUUUCAAGCGAUAUAACUUGGCCGUGCUCACAAUCUAUGGUUUUCGGCCCGAGAAAAUGUUCAUGGGGUAUAUUACAAGGAUCAUGGAAGUGGCUAUCUCUUCAUGA